UCUAGCAAUGAUGAUGCUCUUGCCCUCACUGAGAACGUGGUUCUAUAAUGAGAGUUUUUUUGUAAAUUGCUCUGAGCCAGA